rnacentral:lncRNA from 1 species
CGCUGCCUCAGCGUGGUUUGAUGAACAGUGCCAUGUCCGCGCCCAGGAUUCGAACCAAGGAAACACUGGGCCGCCUGCAGUGGAGUGCACGAACUUAACCGCUCGGCCACGGGGCCAGCCCCUAAUCCCACUUUUUUAAUAAGGGAUAAGAGGAUGAGACAAAGAGCCUGUAUCAAGCUUCCUCUCACUCUGAUGCCAGUGCCCAGAUCCAGACACCAGGGAACGACCGCUGCCCAGAGCUUGAAGAUGGGAGGGUGCAAGGCAGCUGCCAAAAGCUUCUGGAUUUUCCCGGUAGCUGUGACCCAGAGCCCUUCCUCUCUCCUGGCUGUUCUGCUUCAACUUGGACUGUGAAAAUCAUUGACCUGUCUGUCAGCUUUCAGAUCUUCACAAUUGUUCUUAGGUAGCUUCCAGCGAUGGUGAGUGUAUGCACCUGUGCAAACAUGAGCAUUAUCUGUGCUUUAAAACUUAUCCAUCAACAUAUAUUAAUAUGGCCGUGCAGUGGCUACCUGUGUUUUCAAAUAGAGGUAGCAGAAACACACACACACACACACAUGCACUCAUAUGCACACUCACACACAUGUGCAUGCACGCAUGCACACAUAUGUGCACACACACAUUUUUAAAGGGGUCUAUGGAUACUCUCAGGGCUAAAAAGGUUAUAAUGGGGAACAAUGGGAAUGGUGAAGAGCUGAAUUUAUUGGAUAAUUGGAUGUGAGUGAUGAAUUCAAGCUUCAUGGUGGAAGGAAGUCUUGAGCACAAUUUUGAAGACAGAAUUAAAUAAAGCAAAUGUGAUUUAUUUACCAGCCAGAGAGGAAUCCAUUGAUGCAGGAGUGUUGAUUCGUUAACUGUCUGUAUCUGUGAUCACAUUCAAGACCAUGCACGUGCUCAAGGCUGUGACUGAGACCUGCGCUUGCACAAAGUUACUGGUGUGGCUGCAGCUUGGGGAGGCAAGAAGCCUGAAAUGUGAGUCCUGAUUUUGUCAAAUUAGAGGAGGAAAGACACUGAGGACAACUAUGAAGAAUCCCAUCUUCUGGAGUUUAUCACAAUCCCUUUUCUGCUCCAGACUGUGAGAGUACGCAGGGAGCAUCUCUCUUUGCAAAUGUUCUCAGAGGAAACUGCCACAGAAGCUGAACUCUGACGUACCUGCUGCAUGAUGGGAGGGUGAAUUCCUGUAUUUUACCAGGGAGGAUCCAGAAACCAUUUCCUCCAACGACCAAAGGGAUUUCUGGCUUUCUUGACUGAGAAUUGAAACGAUUUUAAAUUGUGUCGCUGUUCUGGUGGGGCAGAAUGGUCUCCCUGUCAGUGAACUGUCUUCUGUAUUAUUAAGUUAGCAUUGCGUUGGAGUUGAAAAAGCAGAGGCCAAUUGCCAAAUAAAACAAGGUGUAUGUGUUCUGAUGUUAAUGGUUGACUGGAAAAUGUCUUUAUCUUUCUCAAUGACUGGUCAUUUUUUCUUUAACCAUAUGGAAAUAUAAUUCAGCUGGAUUGCCCAUUAGGAGUUAUGAAUUUCAAGUGUAAGAAAAAAAAC